AUCUGUAGGGGUGCCUGGGGGGAUUGAGGUAGCAGAUCUGUAGGGGUGCCUGGGGGGAUUGAGGUAGCAGAUCUGUAGGGGUGCCUGGGGGGAUUGAGGUAGCAGAUCUGUAGGGGUGCCUGGGGGAUUGAGGUAGCAGAUCUGUAGGGGUGCCUGGGGGAUUGAGGUAGAAGAUCUGUAGGGGUGCCUGGGGGGAUUGAGGUAGCAACUCUGUAGGGGUGCCUGGGGGAUUGAGGUAGAAGAUCUGUAGGGGUGCCUGGGGGAUGGAGGUAGCAGAUCUGUAGGGGUGCCUGGGGGGAUUGAGGUAGCAGAUCUGUAGGGGUGCCUGGGGGGAUUGAGGUAGCCGUUUCUAUCUUCCACCAUUCACUAUGAAGACAUUUUGUAGAGCACUUGUUUCCCCGCAGACUAAAAGCUUUAAAUAAAAUGAUAAAUGGGAAUCGACUGGUUUUUAGCUGUGGUCAUAUUUGAGCCCUCAGUGUCUUUCUGAAAAACAGACUGUUCAGGGACGAUUCAAUAGUCAUGUACACUGAACUAAAAUAUAAAUCUCAACAUGUACAAGUGUUGGUCUCUAUGUUUCAUGAGCUGAAAUAAAAGAUCCCAGAAAUGUUCCAUA